rnacentral:lncRNA from 1 species
GAGCCCCUCUGCCUGGCUGCCCAGUCUGGAAAGUGAGGAGCGUCUCCGCCCGGCUGCCAUCCCACGUAGGAAGUGAGGAACACCUCUUCCCGUCCGCCAUCACAUCUAGGAAGUGAGGAGCAUCUCUGCCCGGCCGCCCAUCGUCUGAGACGUGGGGAGUGCCUCUGCCCCGCCGCCCCGUCUGGGAUGUGAGGAGCACCUCUGCCCGACCCCGACCCCGUCUGGGAGCGCAUUUGAAAUGGUGCUGGGAAAGCGGUGAACUGGAAGUAAUGGAUCCCGCUGCCUCUCUGAGGAAGAGAAAAAUCCCAUGACCGGAUUUGAGGAAACAAACGGAAGUCUAAGUGCACCCACUUCCGGAGUGGGCACCGCUCCUCAGUAAAUUCUACAGCUGGAAGGAAGUUUCUAGAGGCACCUCAGCACUGACUUCAGUACCCAUCACUCCACAACUCAAGGAUGGAAACCUUGAACGUCUGAAUUUGCUGAACUGCUUGAGAUGAGACAUCCGUUGUGGACUCUUCUUUUUUGCCCUUUGCUGGAUGGUAGGUGGAGGACAGUUAUCAGAGCUGCAGAGAAGGAAAUAACCUGUCUGGCAUCAGACACUGAUCCUGUUACCAUCUAAUCCACACAGGGACUUGGAUAACAAAUACUUGGAUAAUGAAAACAUCCAAUAAUUAAUGUGCCACCUACUCACCAGGAUCAUGGCCCAACAGGGAAAUGUGGAACAAAGCUCUCCUCAAGGGGAAAGAAAAUGGGAUACACGGCUUGGAAAACCUUCACUAACACUCCCAUAUGAAGAGUGAUAGAAUGCUAAUUUCCCACAGAUUCAUUAUCACCAUGAAAUGAAAUUUUGGAACACAUCACAGAAGACCCAGGGUAGUAACCAUUCAGUUCUUGAAAGAUGGUCUGGAUGCAGAACAUCACCAGAACAUUGAUCUGAAACAAACAACAAAUGAAUGUAAAAGCAAGACAAAGGACUUCCAAUAACAACAAAAUAUUAGUAAUAAAAAGAUUCCUGGAAGAGUCCAGGAAUCUGCCUCAUCAGAAACACACUGGGAUUUUUUCUGCUUGUUUGUUUGUUUGUUUUUUGUAGAGAUGGAGGUUUCACUCUGUUGCCUAGGCUGGUCUUGAACUCCUGGCCUCAAGCAAUCCUCCCACUUCUGCCUCCCAAUACACUGGGAUUACAGGCUUGAGCCACCGUGCCCAGCUCACACUGGAAAUUCUAAUGUGUUUUCAAAAGAAAACAUACUGUAUACUAUACACAAACACACACACACACACACACACUGAGAGAGAGAGAAAGAAAGAAAAGAGUGUGUACAGUAUCAUUGCAUUUAUUCAAAGUUCAAGAAUAGGCAAAACGAAAUUAUAGUGACAGAGGUCAGAAGAGUGGUUCCCUCCGGGGAUGAGUAUUUACUGCAAGCAGCCUGAAGAUGCUGGAAAUGCUUUACAUCUUAGUCAAGGUGGUGGGUACAUGGGAGUGUACAUAUGUGUAUAUAUACAGGUUCAUCAAGCUGUGCCUUGUGAUUAGUGCACUUUAAAAAUGUAACACUUGGGAGGCUGAGGCAGGUGGAUUGCCUGAGCUCAGGAGUUUGAGACCAGCCUGGGCAACAUGGUGAAACCCCAUCUCUACUAAAAUACAGAAAAUUAGUUGGGCGUGGCAAUGUGCGCCUGUAAUCCCAGCUACUUGGGAGGCUAAGACAGGAGAAUCGCUUGAACCCGGGAGGUUGCAGUGAACUGAAAUCGCGCCAUUGCACUCCA